AGACGUGGCCAGAUCUCAUUCGGAAGGCAAAAGAAGGAGGUUUGGAUGUCAUUUAGACUUACGUUUUCUGGAAUGGCCACGAGCCUUCACCUGGCAAAUACAACUUUGAGGGAAACUAUGAUCUCGUGAAAUUUGUCAAGCUCGUGCAACAAGCAGGCCUCUACGUCCAUCUCAGAGUCGGGCCUUAUGUUUGCACUGAGUGGAAUUUCGGUGGGUUCCCUGUUUGGCUAAAAUACGUCCGUGGUAUUAGUUUCAGAACAGAUAAUGGACCGUUCAAG